rnacentral:rRNA from 1 species
UACGUAGGGUGCAAGCGUUAAUCGGAAUUACUGGGCGUAAAGCGUGCGCAGGCGGUUCUAUAAGACAGAUGUGAAAUCCCCGGGCUCAACCUGGGAACUGCAUUUGUGACUGUAGAGCUGGAGUACGGCAGAGGGGGAUGGGAAUUCUGCGUGUAGCAGUGAAAUGCGUAGAUAUGCGGAGGAACACCGAUGGCGAAGGCAAUCCCCUGGGCCUGUACUGACGCUCAUGCACGAAAAGCUGG